ensembl:lncRNA
GCAGCCUUCCAGGUAGGCACUGUCCCCAGGCAAAGCCCUUUCCACCCACCGCCCCCGGCUCCUGCCCGCCCGCAGUCCCGUGCUGCGGCUCCGUUCGGUGCCCGGCGCGGGGAGCCGUCCCAUGGGGCAUCCCGGGUUCGCUCCUCGGGUAAAUUGAGGAGUCUGCAGACUGCGUGGGUUAAAGGUCAUUUCUCAAAUCACUAGAAUUAGGAAAGAAUAGCAGAAAUCUGGAAAGAGGGGAGGAGUCGCGCUGUAAAACAGGAAAGAUCGCCUGAAAUCAGCUAAUAAAGAGCCCCGAGCAGUUCACCACGUGCUUGUAGUGAGUGAUGUUUGGCAUCGGGUCAUGGCAUAAUGCUGUGGGCGCUCCUGGGCGCUGCUGUACACAGCAAUAGGACUGGGGAACGAAUAAAUCACGGGCACGUUUUCAAACCGUGGCUCACAGAAGUGGAAAUAAAGGGCAGAAAUCCAAACAUCCUGCAAGGCUUGAAGAAUUUUAAUUUCUCCUCGCUAUUUAAACCAGCUGGGUGAAGCUAGAGGGGGCCGGAGGGAGGAGCGCUGACGUUACAGGCAUUGGUGCUGCCUGAGCUGUGUGUCUGUGGGGCUGCUGGUCGUGGAGCUCCAUGGUUAAUGGGACAGUUGUGCCAUGUGUCUACUACCAAUGUCUGAGCAUUUUCAUGAGGAAAAAAUAAAAUGAAAUAAUAAUAAUAAUACUCCAAAACCCCAGGCUGCUCAGUAAUAUAAUAGGAAAUGCAAAGGUGUUGGUGAAUAUCCAAACAGCAGAACCCCAGAAGAGCAGUGCACCUGGUUGGAUCGAUGGUCUGCCAUAGAUCUGGUGGCUCAACAGUUCUCUGUAAGACAGAAAUGAGUCAUUUCCAGUAUCUCAGAUGGGUUUCUGUCCUUUUAUUAUUCUGCAGAAUAAUGCACUUUAACUGAGGGCUGUCACACCAGGACGCUACGUGCACGUGUUCAUCGCAGUGCUGCUGUGUGAUCUCUGUCUUUUCACAUUGACUGAUGGCAAACAGGCAGUCAGGCUGAUGGCACACUGCUCCAUCACGAAGAACCUGGAGGGAAGCAGAGCCCUCUAGGAAAGAAGGUCAUUUUCUGCAUGUCUCUUUAGGUUUUCAUAGCGUUCGUAUAAAUGAUAUAGGAAGUAUCACACAUUACACUGAAACCUUGUGAAGGCAGAACCCCCCCCUGCAGCUGCUUUGGGGUUGUUGUGCAUGUGUAUGGUUUUGGGGUGAGGGCCAUGCACAACACCAGAGACCAUUUGACAAAAGCAAAC